GAUGACAGAAUUUGCCCACGAAGGACCGCCGCUCACAACAAGCAGUGUGAUGUUUUGGGACAUCUGUGCUCCGAGGGUGGCGACCCAGACCAUGGCCGACCAGAGGAAGGCAGAGGAGAAACCCCUGGAGAAUCCUCACAGAGUUCCCAACACCUUCAAACACCUCAACCUGGAAACCACUAUUCAGGGUUUCCCUGCCCAAGAUCAAUACCGACGCAGAGUACAGCCCUUUGAAAUUCAGCCUGCGAGACAACACCUGUGACAACCAUACAGCAGACGGGGCCACGGUGGAGAGCAUCAGAAGCUUCAAGUUCUUCAGCGUGCACAUUACUAAGGACCUGAAACGGUCCCUUCACACCGACAGCAGGCGGUGUGAAGCAGGCUACAGCACCUACUUCAACCUCAGGAGGCUGAAGAAGUUUGUGGCCCCUAAGACCCUCACAAUUUUCUACAGAUGCACCAUCGAGAGCAUUCUGUCGGGAUGUAUUAUCACAUGGUAUGGGAACUGAUACAGCCCAACGCAUCAUCGGGGGCACACUGUCUGCCCUCCAGGACUUCUACAGCACCCGGUGUCACAGGAAA